UUAAUUGAAACCAAAAUAGA
rnacentral:tRNA from 1 species